rnacentral:rRNA from 1 species
UACGGAGGGUGCAAGCGUUAAUCGGAAUUACUGGGCGUAAAGCGUGCGUAGGUGGUUCGUUAAGUCCGUUGUGAAAGCCCCGAGCUCAACUUGGGGAAUUGCAGUGGAUACUGGCGAGCUGGAGUGCGGUAGAGGAAGGUGGAAUUCCCGGUGUAGCGGGUGAAAAUGCGUAGAUAUUGGGGAGGAACACCAGUGGCGAAGGCGGCUCACUGGACCGGAACUGACGCUGAGGCGCGAAAGC